CAUAAGCUUGGUCCCAGCUUUGAUGUCAGCUUUGAUAAAAUUUAUACAUGCAAGUUUCCGCCCCCCCGUGAGAAUGCCCUCUCGAACCCACCCCGGAAAAGAGGAGCCGGCAUCAGGCACAACACUGCUUAGCCCACGACGCCUUGCUUAGCCACACCCCCACGGGUACUCAGCAGUAAUAAACAUUAAGCCAUGAGUGAAAACUCGACUUAGUCAGCAUCAAGAGGGCCGGUAAAACUCGUGCCAGCCACCGCGGUUAUACGAGAGGCCCAAGUUGACAGAAUUCGGCGUAAAGAGUGGUUAAUGAAUAUUAUACUAAAGCCGAACACCCUCAAGACUGUUAUACGUGUUCGAGGGCAGGAAGCCCUUCAACGAAAGUGGCUUUAAUAAGCAUGAACCCACGAAAGCUAGGGCACAAACUGGGAUUAGAUACCCCACUAUGCCUAGCCUUAAACAAAAUUGCCCCCAUACAACAACCAUUCGCCAGGGAACAACGAGCCCCAGCUUAAAACCCAAAGGACUUGGCGGUGCUUUAGACCCCCCUAGAGGAGCCUGUUCUAGAACCGAUACUCCCCGUUCAACCUCACCCCCUCUUGUUUUUCCCGCCUAUAUACCGCCGUCGUCAGCUUACCCUGUGAAGGGCUAAUAGUAAGCAAAAUUGGCAAAGCCCAAAACGUCAGGUCGAGGUGUAGCGAACGAGGGGGGAAGAAAUGGGCUACAUUUACUGGCUCAGUAAAUACGAAUGCUACACUGAAAUAAGUAGCUGAAGGAGGAUUUAGCAGUAAGAGGGGAAUAGAGUGCCCCUCUGAAAACGGCCCUGAAGCGCGCACACACCGCCCGUCACUCUCCCCAACGGUAACUAAAGAAUAAAUAAUAAUAUACUACUGCCACAAGGGGAGGCAAGUCGUAACAUGGUAAGUGUACCGGAAGGUGUACUUGGAAAACUC
rnacentral:ncRNA from 1 species